CAGUCGCCACGGUAAUACAGAGGGUGCGAGCGUUAAUCGGAUUUACUGGGCGUAAAGCGUGCGUAGGCGGCUUUUUAAGUCGGAUGUGAAAUCCCUGAGCUUAACUUAGGAAUUGCAUUCGAUACUGGGAAGCUAGAGUAUGGGAGAGGAUGGUAGAAUUCCAGGUGUAGCGGUGAAAUGCGUAGAGAUCUGGAGGAAUACCGAUGGCGAAGGCAGCCAUCUGGCCUAAUACUGACGCUAAGGUACGAAAGCAUGGGGAGCAAACAGGAUUAGAGACCCGCGUAGUCCCUGUCUCUUAUAC
rnacentral:rRNA from 1 species